GCCAGCAUAGCUCAGCGGUAGAGCAAUGCUUUCGUAAAGCAUAGGUCGCCGGUUCGAAUCCGGCUGCUGGCUCCA
rnacentral:tRNA from 1 species